AGCCCCCGGGUGGAGGAACAGGUAAGACAGCGGCAGAGUGAAGUCCUGCAGGUGCAACCCUAUUAGCGAUAGGGACCCUAAGAAGGAAUGAUCAGGUUGGGGGGAUGGAGUGAGGGGACUUGGAGAACAAAAGGACAAGCUGAAUGAGUCUGCCUUUGCUCCUUUUUGGCGGAAAGGCGUGGACAGCAACGGUCCGCAAUGCCCCAACCCCUGCCUAGUCACCUGCGCUCACCUACCCUGUGUUGUGCCUAUGACCUGAUGGUCCCACGAGAGAACUGAAUAUGAUGACAGUCGGACCCAUCUGCUGGGCUUGGAAUUCAUCAGGCCAUGCAUGCAGGGCGUAAAAUACACACGUGGCAUGUGCUUUCAUAGAUUGCCAGUUGAGACAUCUUGUAUUAUGGGAAGAAAUGCACGAGAAUGUACACCCAUCUCUACGCUUCACGAGACAAUUUUGCCUAAAAAUGUUUCUUCAGUAUCCAGCGCUACAAUGUUUCUCCACAUCAAGGUUUUUUAAUAAACUGAAAGGUCCCCCGCUCUUGCCUGAUGAUAAAAUGAAAGGAACCAGUGAGGUAUGGUACAGCGAGGCAGCGAAAAAAGAGAAGCUCAUCAGAAAAUAACAAAGGUGCAAGGUAAAGAUAAGGCAGCUGUCAGAGAUUAAUCCUGCCCGCCUGAUUGUUUUCUUUAAUACCAAAGCCUGCAAUAGCAAGCGAUAAGUUUGCUGAGUAAUUUGGUUUUUGGUGAGGAAAUAAAAUUCAGGUAGGCCCCGUAAUUGAUUUCCCU
rnacentral:lncRNA from 1 species